rnacentral:rRNA from 1 species
CUUGGUCAUUUAGAGGAAGUAAAAGUCGUAACAAGGUCUCCGUUGGUGAACCAGCGGAGGGAUCAUUAUAGAGUUUUCAAAACUCCCCAAACCCAUGUGAACUUACCUAUGUUGCCUCGGCGGGAGCCUACCCUGUACCUACCCUGUAACGGGUUACCCGGGGGCGGCCCCGCCGGUGGACCUUUUAACUCUUGUUAUUUUAUGUAAUCUGAGAGUCUUAUUUUAAAUAAGUCAAAACUUUCAACAACGGAUCUCUUGGUUCUGGCAUCGAUGAAGAACGCAGCGAAAUGCGAUACGUAAUGUGAAUUGCAGAAUUCAGUGAAUCAUCGAAUCUUUGAACGCACAUUGCGCCCAUUAGUAUUCUAGUGGGCAUGCCUGUUCGAGCGUCAUUUCAACCCUUAAGCCUAGCUUAGUGUUGGGAAUCUACACCAAAGGCUUCUAGCCCUACUGUAGUUCCUGAAAAUCAACGGCGGAUCUGUAAUAAUCCUCUGAGCGUAGUAAUUCUUUAUCUCGCUUUUGUUAGGCGUUAUAGCCCUUGCCGCUAAACCCCCCAAUUUUUAAUGGUUGACCUCGGAUCAGGUAGGAAUACCCGCUGAACUUAAGCAUAUCAAUAAGCGGAGGA